UGCCUUCAUCAUCCUCUAGAAAUACAGCAACAAUUCCUGGCGAUACCUCAGCAACCGGCUGCUGGCACCCAGCGACUCGCCAGAGUGGUUAUCUUUUGAUGUCACCGGAGUUGUGCGGCAGUGGUUGAGCCGUGGAGGGAAAUUGAGGGCUUUCGCCUUAGCGCCCACUGCUCCUGUGACAGCAGGGAUAACACACUGCAAGUGGACAUCAACGGUGA
rnacentral:lncRNA from 1 species